GUUGGUGAGGAUGUAGAGAAAAUAGAACCCUUACACACUGUUGGUGGGAAUGUAAAUUAGUACCUCUAUUAAGGAAAACUGUGGAGGUUCCUCAAAAAAUUAAAAGUAGAGCACUAUAUGAUCCAGCAAUCCCACCAGUGGGUAAAUGGAGGUAUCUGUACUCCCUUGUUUAUUGCAGCACUGUUCACAAUAGCCAAGAAUUGAAGUCAACCUAAAUGCCAGCAAUGGAUGAAUGGAUAAAAUGUGGUAUAUCUACACAGUGGAAUACUAUUCAGCAAUGAAAAAGAAUGAUAUCCUGUCAUUUGAAACAAAUUAUUUGAACCUGAACAUUAUGUUAAGUGAAAUAAGUCAGACACAAAAAGACAAAUACCACAUGUUCUCACUGAUACGUGGAAUCUUAAAAAAAAGAAAAAGAAAAAGCCGA
rnacentral:lncRNA from 10 species